rnacentral:rRNA from 1 species
AAAUUGAAGAGUUUGAUCAUGGCUCAGAUUGAACGCUGGCGGCAGGCCUAACACAUGCAAGUCGAACGGUAACAGGAAGCAGCUUGCUGCUUCGCUGACGAGUGGCGGACGGGUGAGUAAUGUCUGGGAAACUGCCUGAUGGAGGGGGAUAACUACUGGAAACGGUGGCUAAUACCGCAUAACGUCGCAAGACCAAAGAGGGGGACCUUCGGGCCUCUUGCCAUCAGAUGUGCCCAGAUGGGAUUAGCUUGUUGGUGAGGUAACGGCUCACCAAGGCGACGAUCCCUAGCUGGUCUGAGAGGAUGACCAGCCACACUGGAACUGAGACACGGUCCAGACUCCUACGGGAGGCAGCAGUGGGGAAUAUUGCACAAUGGGCGCAAGCCUGAUGCAGCCAUGCCGCGUGUAUGAAGAAGGCCUUCGGGUUGUAAAGUACUUUCAGCGGGGAGGAAGGUGUUGUGGUUAAUAACCACAGCAAUUGACGUUACCCGCA